rnacentral:misc_RNA from 1 species
GAUGAAGAACGUAGCGAAAUGCGAUAAGUAAUGUGAAUUGCAGAAUUCAGUGAAUCAUCGAAUCUUUGAACGCACAUUGCGCCCACUAGUAUUCUGGUGGGCAUGCCUGUUCGAGCGUCAUUUCAACCCUCAAGCCUUAGUUGCUUAGUGUUGGGAGCUUAUCUUGCCGAAAGGCGGACAACUCCUUAAAACUAUUGGCGGAGUCGCGGUGACCCCAAGCGUAGUAAAUCUUUUUUUUCUCGCUUUAGGUGUUAACGCUGGCUUUCUAGCCGUUAAACCCUCUAAAUUUUUAGUGGUUGACCUCGGAUCAGGUAGGACUACCCGCUGAACUUAAGCAUAUCAAUAAGCGGAGGA